AAUCAUGUAACCUAUAGAAAAUAUUCCUAUAUAAUUGUAUUAACGUAACAGACAUAACUUACCAGUUUUUGUUUGUUUGGACGAUGAAGGUUUAAAAAAAACUAUGUAAGGUUGUUGACUUGGAUUUACGUGACAUUUUUAACUUCUUUAUAGUUUAUGUUAAAAUGCACUAAUAGAUCACACUCGACACACCAUAAAAUUAUUAUCUCACGGUACAGUGCCAACUGCCAUGGAGAUUUAUUGUUUAUAACACCAGUCAAUAGUCACAAAUAUAUGGUGUAUUAUAAUCACAACAAUUCUGUUAGUAGUGUGUGCUUCACCACAAUUUGCAUAUUUUGGUUUUGAUUUUUUUGACUUUUGGCAGUCUUCUGUACUGUUAUCUUCAUCAUAUUUAACACAUACAAAUUUUUUAUGGCAAUCAUUUUGGGUAUGCCCAUAGGAC